CCGACCUUAGCUCAGUUGGCAGAGCGGAGGACUGUAGAUCCUUAGGUCACUGGUUCGAAUCCGGUAGGUCGGA